ACGGUGGACUCUGUGGAUCAAGGACUCAUCACCCCACAGGCCUUUCUGCUACAGCUGCUGCUGGACAAACUCUUGGCCCCCACAACGGUGCAGGACGUGGCCCUCCUGGCUCUCGGACGUGCAGCCGCACUCCUCACACACGUACAGCUUGGCCCGCCGCUCCUUGUACGCGUACUUCUGCUGCACACCGUGGAUCUUCUUGAGAUGGGACUCUAGCGAGCAGCGCUGCGUGAAGGCCUUGUCGCACAGGCUGCAUUUGUAGGGCCGCACACCUGCGGGGAGGAGCGUGUGGGGGUCAGGGAGCUGACGGCAAGCCCGUGGGCCACUUCCCUGACAUAGAAAGGCCAGGCCACCUGACUCUGGGCGGGAGGAGCAGAGGAGGCCGGCUCCGUCUCCAGCUCCCUGAGGGACCGAACCCAUGAGCUACUGGGGGCUUCUGCCCUAAGUUCCAGGACACCCUCUCCCAGGCCGUGGAUCUCCCCUCCCCCGCCGGGCAGGAACUCCCAGGGGCUCUUCUCACCAGUGUGGGUGCGGACGUGCCUCUUCAGGUCGAACGUGUCAUUGAAGCCUUUCCCGCAGUAGGUGCACAGGUGCCUCUUGACGUCGUUGUGACACUUCAUGUGGCGGUUCAGCAUGCGCUGUAUCGGAAAGCCUGAGCGAAGCUCCUGGAAGUGGGAGCCCAGCCACAGCGCCCGCCCAGGCAGUGGCAGAGGGAGGAGUGACAGCAGGAUUCACCCUCCCCAGAACGACAAGGGCAAACGCUCACCUGUGCCCUCCAGGUUUAGACCCGGACCCAACCAUAUGGGCCCAUCCUGUCUCGAGAGAGGCCUGCACAGCUCCCUGCCCUGGACACCAGCAGCAGGUGGCCCAGACCACCCGGAAGCCCCCCUUGGCCAUCCCUGCAGGGACAGCACCCCCCACCACUCCCACAAGGGCCACCAGAACUCUGGUGGGGAAAGUCACCAGGAUGCAAGGAAGUCAAUGAUUUGAACAAACGGAAUUUCUUUGUCCUUUGUAAAAGUCAACACAUGAUCUGUUACUGAUUGGGAUGUGAAAUAAAACUAAAAAUAACAGCACACUGAGUCUCCCACAAGGCUCAGC